UACGGAGGGUGCAAGCGUUAUCCGGAUUCACUGGGUUUAAAGGGUGUGUAGGCGGGCAUUUAAGUCAGUGGUGAAAUACCUGAGCUUAACUUGGGAACUGCCAUUGAUACUAUUUGUCUUGAAUGUCGUGGAGGUUAGCGGAAUAUGUCAUGUAGCGGUGAAAUGCUUAGAUAUGACAUAGAACACCUAUUGCGAAGGCAGCUAACUACGCGAAUAUUGACGCUGAGGCACGAAAGCGUGGGGAUCAAACAGG
rnacentral:rRNA from 1 species